AGUACCGAAGUCCCUGAUUUCACACUGCCAAGAAAAGCGUCUAGCGAGGAACAAGGUGCCCGUACCGCAAACCGACACAGGUAGGCGAGGAGAGAAUCCUAAGGUGCGCGGGAUAACUCUUGCUAAGGAACUCGGCAAAAUGGCCCCGUAACUUCGGGAGAAGGGGCGCCUCGGUAGGGUUAAUAGCCCGAGGGGGCCGCAGUGAAAAGGCCCAAGCGACUGUUUAGCAAAAACACAGGUCUCUGCGAAGCCGCAAGGCGAAGUAUAGGGGCUGACGCCUGCCCGGUGCUGGAAGGUUAAGGGGAUGGGUUAGCGCAAGCGAAGCUUUGAACCGAAGCCCCAGUAAACGGCGGCCGUAACUAUAACGGUCCUAAGGUAGCGAAAUUCCUUGUCGGGUAAGUUCCGACCCGCACGAAAGGCGUAACGACUUGGGCGCUGUCUCGGCAAGAGACCCGGUGAAAUCAUAAUACCUGUGAAGAUGCAGGUUACCCGCGACAAGACGGAAAGACCCCAUGGAGCUUUACUGUAGCCUGGUAUUGGAACUUUGUGCAUCAUGUACAGGAUAGGUGGGAAGCUGAGAAGCAGGGGCGCCAGCCUCUGUGGAGCUGUCGGUGGGAUACCACCCUUGAUGUACGGAGUUUCUAACUCGUCGCCCUUAUCGGGCGAGAGGACCAUGCCAGGUGGGCAGUUUGACUGGGGCGGUCGCCUCCCAAAAGGUAACGGAGGCGCCCAAAGGUUCCCUCAGAAUGGUCGGAAAUCAUUCGUAGAGUGUAAAGGCAGAAGGGAGCUUGACUGCGAGACCUACAAGUCGAGCAGGGACGAAAGUCGGGCUUAGUGAUCCGGUGGUUCCGCAUGGAAGGGCCAUCGCUCAACGGAUAAAAGCUACCCUGGGGAUAACAGGCUUAUCUCCCCCAAGAGUCCACAUCGACGGGGAGGUUUGGCACCUCGAUGUCGGCUCAUCGCAUCCUGGGGCUGAAGUAGGUCCCAAGGGUUGGGCUGUUCGCCCAUUAAAGCGGUACGCGAGCUGGGUUCAGAACGUCGUGAGACAGUUCGGUCCCUAUCUGUCGCGGGCGUAGGAAGUUUGAGGAGAGCUGUCCUUAGUACGAGAGGACCGGGAUGGACGCACCGCUGGUGCACCAGUUGUCACGCCAGUGGCACAGCUGGGUAGCUAUGUGCGGACGGGAUAAGCGCUGAAAGCAUCUAAGCGUGAAGCCCCCUCCAAGAUGAGACUUCCCACAGCGCAAGCUGGUAAGACCCCUCAUAGACGAUGAGGUUGAUAGGUUCGGUGUGGAAGCGUGGUAACACGUGGAGCUGACGAAUACUAAUCGGUCGAGGACUUAUCCA
rnacentral:rRNA from 2 species